rnacentral:rRNA from 1 species
CCUACGGGAGGCAGCAGUGAGGAAUAUUGGUCAAUGGACGAGAGUCUGAACCAGCCAAGUAGCGUGAAGGAUGACUGCCCUAUGGGUUGUAAACUUCUUUUAUAUGGGAAUAAAAUGUUCCACGUGUGGGUUUUUGUAUGUACCAUAUGAAUAAGGAUCGGCUAACUCCGUGCCAGCAGCCGCGGUAAUACGGAGGAUCCGAGCGUUAUCCGGAUUUAUUGGGUUUAAAGGGAGCGUAGGUGGAUUGUUAAGUCAGUUGUGAAAGUUUGCGGCUCAACCGUAAAAUUGCAGUUGAAACUGGCAGUCUUGAGUACAGUAGAGGUGGGCGGAAUGCGUGGUGUAGCGGUGAAAUGCUUAGAGAUCACGAAGAACUCCGAUUGCGAAGGCAGCUCACUGGACUGCAACUGACACUGAGGCUCGAAAGUGUGGGUAUCAAACAGGAUUAGAUACCCCAGUAGUC